CGAUCGGUAACGCGGGGGCAACCCUGGCGACGAGAGGCGGACGGGUGAGCAAUGCUUGGGAAUCUGCCCAUCAGCGGGGGACAACCCGGGGAAACUCGGGCUAAUACCGCAUACGCUCUACGGAGGAAAGCCGGGGACCGCAAGGCCUGGCACUGAUGGAUGAGCCCAAGUCGGAUUAGCUAGUUGGCGGGGUAACGGCCCACCAAGGCGACGAUCCGUAGCUGGUCUGAGAGGACGAUCAGCCACACCGGAACUGAGACACGGUCCGGACUCCUACGGGAGGCAGCAGUGGGGAAUAUUGGACAAUGGGGGAAACCCUGAUCCAGCGACGCCGCGUGGGUGAAGAAGGCCUGCGGGUUGUAAAGCCCUUUCGGUAGGGACGAAAGCUUCCGACCUAACACGUCGGGAGGUUGACUUAACCUACAGAAGAAGCACCGGCUAACUCUGUGCCAGCAGCCGCGGUAAUACAGAGGGUGCGAGCGUUAAUCGGAAUUACUGGGCGUGAAGCGCACGUAGGCGGCUUGGUAUGUCGGGUGUGAAAUCCCCGGGCUCAACCUGGGAACUGCAUCCGAAACUGCCUUGCUAGAGUAUGGGAGAGGGAAGUGGAAUUUCCGGUGUAGCGGUGAAAUGCGUAGAUUUCGGAAGGAACAUCAGUGGCGAAGGCGACUUCCUGGACCAAUACUGACGCUCAGGUGCGAAAGCGUGGGGAGCAAACAGGAUUAGAUACCCUGGUAGUCCACGCCCUAAACGAUGACAACUGGAUGUCGG
rnacentral:rRNA from 1 species